AGGUGUUUAUGGAAUAAAGGAGAAU
rnacentral:piRNA from 1 species